CCUACGGGAGGCAGCAGUGGGGAAUAUUGCACAAUGGGGGAAACCCUGAUGCAGCAACGCCGCGUGAGUGAGGAAGUAUUUCGGUAUGUAAAGCUCUAUCAGCAGGGAAUAGAAAAGAAGGUACCUGAAAAAGAAGCCCCGGCUAACUACGUGCCAGCAGCCGCGGUAAUACGUAGGGGGCAAGCGUUAUCCGGAUUUACUGGGUGGAAAGGGAGCGUAGACGGAAAAGGAAGUCAGAAGUGAAAAACCAAGGCUCAACCAUGGGACUGCUUUUGAACCUGUCAAACUAGAGUACGGGAGAGGUAAGAGGAAUUCCUAGUGUAGCGGUGAAAUGCGUAGAUAUUAGGAGGAACACCAGUGGCGAAGGCGUCUUACUGGACCGAAACUGACGUUGAGGCUCGAAAGCGUGGGGAGCAAACAGGAUUAGAUACCCGAGUAGUC
rnacentral:rRNA from 1 species